rnacentral:rRNA from 1 species
AGCUAGGUAAAGCACAGCUAGCGACUGAAGACCCGGUGAACAGCAGCCGUACCUGUAAGGGCCCAAAUAGCGAAGUCCCUUGUCGGGUAAGUUCCAACCAGCACAAAAGGGGUAACGAUCUCAGCUUUG